rnacentral:tRNA from 3 species
GGUGGUGUGUCCGAGCGGCCGAAGGUGCAUCACUCGAAAUGAUGUUUGGUGUAAAAGCCAACGGGGGUUCAAAUCCCUCCACCACCGC